GAUGAAGAACGUAGCAAAAUGCGAUACUUGGUGUGAAUUGCAGAAUCCCGUGAACCAUCGAGUUUUUGAACGCAAGUUGCGCCCGAAGCCUUUUGGCCGAGGGCACGUCUGCCUGGGCGUCACGCAUCGCGUCGCCCCCCACAAAUUCUCCGUCAGGGGAGCUUGUGUUUCGGGGGCGGAUACUGGUCUCCCGUGCUCAUGGCGCGGUUGGCCGAAAUAGGAGUCCCUUCGAUGGACGCACGAACUAGUGGUGGUCGUAAAACCCUCGUCUUUUGUUUCGUGCCGUUAGUUGCGAGGGAAGCUCUUCAAAAACCCCAACGCGUCGUCUCUUGACGGCGCUUCGACCGCGACCCCAGGUCAGGCGGGACUACCCGCUGAGUUUAAGCAUAUCAAUAAGCGGAGGA
rnacentral:misc_RNA from 1 species